rnacentral:lncRNA from 10 species
CUCACUCAGUCCCCUCCUGAGGCUCCCACAUCAGCCCCAGAAGUGAGAGGAAUGGGGCACCCCCCGGGGGCGGUGAGGACAGCGAUCGAUCGUGGGAGGCUCUGCCUGGGGCAGGUAGUCCUUCACUGCGGGUGGGACCAGUGCUUAUGAAGAGGGCCCAGCAGUAACCACUGCAGGCCACGUGGCCAGGCUUCUGUCCUACCACGCCACUGGCGUCACGCCAGGAGGUGGCCUUCCUGGAUAGCAUCGGGUGUGGCGCCCUGCUGUGUCUCCGUACAAUGUUAUUUAUGGACGCUGAAACUUGAAUUUCAUCUUUUUCACAAGUAGUGAAACAUCUUUCUUCUCUAUUUAUUUGUUUCAGCUGGUGCUGAGACCGGCCGACCUGUAAUCCCAGCUACUCAGGAGGCCAAGGCAGGAGGAUCGCUUGAGCCCUGGAGUUCAAGACCAGCCUGGGCAACACAGAGAGACCCUGUCUCAAAAAAAAAAAAAAAAAAAAAGUAAAAAACACUCUUGGGUGGGGGUGGGGAGUGGUACAAAAUCAGUGAGAGGCCCAGACGCUCACCCCUUUUCUAAAAGUUUUACAAAUAUUAACGCUUCUGAUCCUCCCGAAACCUAGUGAGGGGGCCCUAUCACUGUCCCCAUUUAACAGAUGAGGAAACUGAGGCACGGGUAGGGUUAAGUGCCCUGCCCGAGGUCCCACAGCUGGGGACCCUGGGAUUCCUCCCUGCUCCCGCCUCCCCAGCCUCUAAGAACCAGGGAUUGUGGGGCUGGGGACGAGCCUCCUGAGCAUUCCCUUAGCCCCUAACUUGAGAGCCCUCCCGGCCCAGGCGAGCUGGGACGCAGCCCUCCCCACCCCUCCCCAGCUCUCCGAUGCGCGGGUUUCCAAGCCCCUCCCUCCGCCCGGCUGUGGGUUCGCGCUCGCCGGCGGUUCCCACACUGCGCGGGCGGGCGGCGAGGGAAGCGUGCCUGGGCCCCCCCGCGGCAUUAGUGCCGGGGUCUGAGUCUGAAUGAAUGAGGGCGGCGGCGGGGGGCGCGGGGGGGCAACUCCCAAAAGACCAUCUGGCUCCGCGUUAUAAUAGAGCAAUAAAGGGCUUGUCUGCCUUUCAGAGGUUGGGGAGGCCCGGAAAGCUGGGCAGGGGGAGCCUGAGGUUGCGCCCAUGCCCUCUGGGGUGUGGACUCCAGUCCCUUGGUGAAGGUGGGGCCUGGAAUGGUGCACAAAGCUGGGGCCUCAAGCCUGGCCUGGGACUUGGGAAGGCUGCAGUCUGUGGGGGGUGGUCCUGGUGGAGGGAUGGAGCCUUACCUUAGUCAGAUGAGAAAUGGUACUUCCACCGCCCAGCUCAGCCCACCUAUAGUGCUCUCACGCAAGGCCUUAGGCCUGCCUUCCCUGUUCAGACCCUACGGGUCCCCGUGUGGCCAGGUUGGUUGCGAUCGGGAGAUGGGUAGAGGGCCCUGCCCCCUGACUUGGUGCCCCUGGCCAGGUGCAGUGUGCAGUGCAGGGACUGGGACACCUGUUUGGGCCCACAAGCCGUAUUCCAGGUGAGGAUCAGACAGCAGGUGGCCAGCCCCAGCACAGAGUCUCCUGGGCUGGGGCUAACUGGGUAUGGAGGGGGUGGGCGCUACUCUGCAGUG